rnacentral:rRNA from 1 species
GAGUUUGAUCCUGGCUCAGGACGAACGCUGGCGGCGCGCCUAACACAUGCAAGUCGAACGGAGCUUAGAGAGCUUGCUUUUUAAGCUUAGUGGCGAACGGGUGAGUAACGCGUGAGUAACCUGCCCUAGAGUGGGGGACAACAGUUGGAAACGACUGCUAAUACCGCAUAAGCCCACGGUACCGCAUGGUACUGAGGGAAAAGGAUUUAUUCGCUUUAGGAUGGACUCGCGUCCAAUUAGCUAGUUGGUGAGGUAACGGCCCACCAAGGCGACGAUUGGUAGCCGGACUGAGAGGUUGAACGGCCACAUUGGGACUGAGACACGGCCCAGACUCCUACGGGAGGCAGCAGUGGGGAACAUUGGGCAAUGGGCGCAAGCCUGACGGAGCAACGCCGCGUGAGUGAUGACGGCCUUCGGGUUGUAAAACUCUGUGAUCCGGGACGAAAAGGCAGAGUGCGAAGAACAAACUGCAUUGACGGUACCGGAAAAGCAAGCCACGGCUAACUACGUGCCAGCCGCCGCGGUAAUAC